AUGCAAGUCGAACGGCAGCACGGAGAGCUUGCUCUCUGGUGGCGAGUGGCCCAUGGGUGAGUAAUAUAUCGGAACGUGUCCAAUAAUGGGGGCUAACGAGUCGAAAGAUUCGCUAAUACCGCAUACGCCCUACGGGGGAAAGCAGGGGAUCGUAAGACCUUGCGUUAAUGGAGCGGCCGAUAUCUGAUUAGCUUGUUGGUGAGGUAAAGGCUCACCAAGGCGACGAUCAGUAGCUGGUUUGAGAGAACGACCAGCCACACUGGAACUGAGACACGGUCCAGACUCCUACGGGAGGCAGCAGUGGGGAAUUUUGGACAAUGGGGGCAACCCUGAUCCAGCCAUUCCGCGUGAGUGAAGAAGGCCUUCUGGUUGUAAAGCUCUU
rnacentral:rRNA from 1 species